rnacentral:rRNA from 1 species
UACGUAGGGUGCGAGCGUUGUCCGGAAUUAUUGGGCGUAAAGAGCUUGUAGGCGGUCUGUCGCGUCUGCUGUGAAAAUCCGGGGCUCAACCCCGGACUUGCAGUGGGUACGGGCAGACUAGAGUGUGGUAGGGGAGACUGGAAUUCCUGGUGUAGCGGUGAAAUGCGUAGAUAUCUGGAGGAACACCGGUGGCGAAGGCGGCAUCCUGGACCAAUACUGACGCUGAGGAGCGAAAGCCAGGGGAGCAAACGGG